CUUAUACAGUCAUGUUUUAUGGCUGAUUUAGGAGUUAUAUAGUAAGGGGAAGAUGACUUAGCAACUGAACUAUUCAUUAGGAUUUGCAGUUUGCAGAGGUCCUUGGAUUUCAGCAGAAGACAAAGUUUAUGCAGAAUUCAGAAAAAUGAAUGGAUUUUCAGAAGACUUACUUUCAAACAUAAAGUUUUCGUAAACUCCAA